GACGAACGCUGGCGGCAUGCCUAACACAUGCAAGUCGAACGAACCGUCCGGGUCUUUUGUCGCCCGGCUUCGUCACGCGUGGGGACCUGCACAUAUGUUCGGCAUAACUCCCCGAAAGGGAUGCUAAUACCAGAUAGGGUUUUCUGACCAAAAAUUUAUCGACUUUGGAUGUGCGCUCGUGGAAUUAGAUUGUUGUUAGGCUAAUAGCCUACCAAGGCGACGAUGCAUAGCUGGUCUGUGAGGAUGAUCAGCCACACCGGGACUGAGACACGGCCCAGAAUCCUACGGGAGGCAGCAGUGGCGAAUAUUGGACAAUGGGGGAAAGCCUGAUGGAGCAAGGCCGGGAGAGUGAUGAAGGCCGGAGGGUUGUAAAGCGCUUUUAACCGGGAUGAUAAUGACAGUACCGGGAGAAUAAGCUCCGGCUAACUCCGUG
rnacentral:rRNA from 1 species